rnacentral:rRNA from 1 species
GAGUUUGAUCGUGACUCAGAUUGAACGCUGGCGGCAUGCCUUACACAUGCAAGUCGAGCGGCAGCGCGGGGGCAACCCUGGCGGCGAGCGGCGAACGGGUGAGUAAUACAUCGGAACGUGUCCUGUCGUGGGGGAUAACCAGUCGAAAGAUUGGCUAAUACCGCAUGACCUCGUAAGAGAAAAGCGGGGGACCGUAAGGCCUCGCGCGACUGGAGCGGCCGAUGUCGGAUUAGCUAGUUGGCGGGGUAAAAGCCCACCAAGGCGACGAUCCGUAGCUGGUUUGAGAGAACGACCAGCCACACUGGGACUGAGACACGGCCCAGACUCCUACGGGAGGCAGCAGUGGGGAAUUUUGGACAAUGGGGGCAACCCUGAUCCAGCCAUGCCGCGUGUGUGAAGAAGGCC